rnacentral:misc_RNA from 1 species
CCGUUGGAGCUUGCUCCAAUCCGGGAUAGAACCCUUGCUUUUUGAGUACCUUCUCUGUUUCCUCGGUGGGCUCGCCCGCCGGUGGACAACCAAAAACUCUCUGUAAUAGCAGUAUCUUCUGAGAAAAACAAAUAGUCA